rnacentral:rRNA from 1 species
UACAGAGGGGGCAAGCGUUAUUCGGAAUUAUUGGGCGUAAAGGGCGCGUAGGCGGUCGGACAAGUGGAAGGUGAAAUCCCUCGGCUUAACCGGGGAACUGCGUCUGAUACUGGAUGGCUUGAGAUUGGGAGAGGGAUGCGGAAUUCCAGGUGUAGCGGUGAAAUGCGUAGAUAUCUGGAGGAACACCGGUGGCGAAGGCGGCAUCCUGGACCAACACUGACACUGAGGAGCGAAAGCCAGGGGAGCAAACGGG